rnacentral:rRNA from 1 species
AUUGAACGCUGGCGGCAGGCCUAACACAUGCAAGUCGAACGAGUGGCGGACGGGUGAGUAAUGUCUGGGAAACUGCCUGAUGGAGGGGGAUAACUACUGGAAACGGUAGCUAAUACCGCAUACCAUCAGAUGUGCCCAGAUGGGAUGAGCUUGUUGGUGGGGUAACGGCUCACCAAGGCGACGAUCACUAGCUGGUCUGAGAGGAUGACCAGCCACACUGGAACUGAGACACGGUCCAGAAUCCUACGGGAGGCAGCAGUGGGGAAAAUUGCGCAAUGGGCGGAAGCCUUAUGGAGCCAUGCCGCGUGAGUGAAGAAGGUCUUCGGUUUGUAAAAUGCUUUCAGCAGGGAAGCGUUACCCACAGAGAAAGCACCGGCUAACCCCGUGCCAGCCACCGCGGUAAUUC